GCCAACGUCCAUACCACGUUGAAUAUACCGGUUCUCGUCCGAUCACUGAAGUUAAGCAACGUCGGGCGCGGUCAGUACUUGGAUGGGUGACCGCCUGGGAACACCGCGUGAUGUUGGCUUUU
rnacentral:rRNA from 1 species